AAAAAAAAAAAAGUGCCAAAUUUUAUAAAUCUUGAAUCUUAAGCUCUUAAUUACUCUUGUACAAGUUAAUAUCUGUAAACUAAUAUUAAAAGCUAAUAUUUGUAAUUAUUAGUGUUUGAGCUUAAUUUGCCACCAAGAUUGGGAUCAUUUGGCUUGUGUAGAUGUUGGAUUGCUAAAUGUUUGAUUGGCAUAUUAAUGACUUUUCUUAGACAUAAUAAAUUAAUCAAUAAAAUGUCCAAGUUGGCGCACUUGUUACAUUUUUUUAUUUUUUAUUUUUUAUUUUUAAACAUCUAGUGUUCAAAGCCUACUGGUCUAAUCAAUCUGGAUUUGUGUUGGGUAAAUCCAUAAAAAGGGACAAAGUGCUCCAACAUAAGAAUUUAAAGGGACUCUAUAUUUAGGAUUCGAACUCAAAACUUCUGGUUAAGAGAAAAAGAUUCUUGUUAUCACAUUUCGCCCUUCAUAUAAUAUAUAUAUAUUUUUAAAACUAAAUGCAUGGAAAUUGAAAACAACUUCUGAACCAGAAAGUGAAAAUGGCUGGACAAUUAUUUCACUAAUGAAGCCUGAAAUUUGAUUGGCUAAUACAGGAUAAACCCAUCAUCAGUUCACACCUUAUCCAUCAUUAACUUACUCCAUGUUUAAGCACUUCCGAUUAUUCAUUAAAAAAUUCCAGCAUUGUUUAUUGUUAGUCUAAUUAAUUUCUGAAUAAAAAAUUUCAUUAUUUAAUCAUCUUAAUCCAAUAAUAAAGAUCGUCAUCUUUUG
rnacentral:lncRNA from 1 species